CCUACGGGAGGCAGCCGUGGGGAAUAUUGCACAAUUUUUUAAACCCUUAUUCAUCUACUCCUCUUUAUUGAAGAAGUAUUUCGGUAUGUAAAGCUCUAUCAGCAGGGAAGAAGAAAGACGGUACCUGACUAAGAAGCCCCGGCUAACUACGUGCCAGCAGCCGCGGUAAUACGUAGGGGGCAAGCGUUAUCCGGAUUUACUGGGUGUAAAGGGAGCGUAGACGGCUGUGCAAGUCUGAAGUGAAAGCCCAGGGCUCAACCCUGGGACUGCUUUGGAAACGGUGGAGCUAGAGUGCUGGAGAGGUAAGUGGAAUUCCUAGUGUAGCGGUGAAAUGCGUAGAUAUUAGGAGGAACACCAGAGGCGAAGGCGGCUAACUGGACUGCAACUGACGCUGAGGCACGAAAGUGUGGGGAGCAAACAGGAUUAGAUACCCCGGUAGUC
rnacentral:rRNA from 1 species